rnacentral:lncRNA from 1 species
AUUAUGUGUAUUUAUAGUAUACAGCAUGUUUUGAAGUAUAUAUACAUUGUAGAAUGGUUAGAUCUAGCUAAUUAGCAAAUGCACUAGUCACAUGGUUAUUAUUUUUUGCUUAUUUUGCCUUUUCUUUUAUUGUGCUGUGCUUACUUCUAGGAGCACUGUUUAGUCAUCGUCUUAGCAGCACAAAGUGGUUUCUGUGCCUGGGUUGGGAUGGAGAGUGGGCUGAGUUGACAGGCAAGUCCUCAUCUCAGGGACCUAGGGUCUCCUGGAUGCUUCUGCUGCCCUCAUGACAGUCAAAGAUGGACACAAGGUGCACAUUUGGAGGAAGGAGUUACAGCAGCCCUGGGUGCAGUGGAGAGGAGGCAGCUCACCUGUGCCAGGCCCUGCUGGGGUGGGUAGCUUCCUCGCUCUGGGAGAGCAGAGCCCAGAUCUUUGUCCUUUGAGGUCACUGAGGGGUGGUCCUGGAAGGGCAGGCUGGUGAUACAACUUUUUGUGCUUUCUUAAUAAUAAGGUAUGUUAUUUUGCAAGCACAAUAAUGCUUUGGUAUAAUAAAUAACAUACGUAAUGAGCUGAUCUUUUCCAACAAAGGUGCUAUAAACACUCAUUACGUUUCCCCCACAUGAAGGAAAGAGAAGGAAGAUUUUUGCCCUUCUUUUUAUUAUGCCAGGUAUUAAGGAAUGAACCUUGGAGAUUCAUUAAGCUUCUUGUUGGCCAAAAGACUCUUACUGCCACAUCUGACCCUAAGAUGUACCCUUUCUACAUCCUGCUAGAUGGCAGCUGUUGCGAAGGCUUUUUGGGGAAGUUGCUUGUGAAAAUUCUCGAUAUCUCUGUGCCUUCCACCCUUCAACCUCUCAGCCUGCAAACCAAACUCCUCCCAUGAAUUGUGAGGGAUCAAGAAUUUGAGAAAAGCCAACCUUGGCCUUGUAUUCAUCUUUUUAUUUGGACAAAACGAGAUGAGACUCACAUAUGGCACUGUACACUUUCCAGUUCCAAAGGACACUGCACUGUGAGUUACAAAGCCAUUUUGAUUUUUCAGAAACUCAACCUUUGGCACUUGAUAAAUAUUCAUUAAUGCCAGUAUGGUCAACAUCUGCUGACAGCGGGUACUGCUCUGCUGAGGGAGCCACACGUCCGCCUAAGCUCAUCUGGAGAUCCUGCCCCUUCCACAGGGCUGCUUUGCAGGACGACCUGUUACCAUAUGCAGGGAUGACCAGUCCAGUCUUGCAUACUGGUCCAGUUCAAGUGCAUUGACGGGGACAGAUUGCAGCUGGAUUCUUCCCACCUCUUCCCAGCUCUUGAUUGCUGCUGCCUCAUUCUCAUCCUCCCAUCUACUGGGGACUCCUGAAACGGAGAGCAUCCUGAAGUGAUGGCUUAAAUAGCAACCCAACAGCAGGUAUCACUAGGCUUCCCCAAGGAGCUCACACGUUCCCAGGAACGACACGCUAUUAGAAGCGAUUAUCUUGUUAGGGAUUUUUUUUUCUCCUUCAUGACUUCUGGGAUAAAUUUCACAGAAUAAUGCCAGGCUACAGAGUGGGCACUUAAUUAAAAAAUUUAUUGCAUACUUAAUUAAUUAAUAAUAUAGUUUCACAGAUUUAAGAAAAAAAAAGAUGCUACUUGUUUGAUGUUGGAUACAAAGGGAUUUGGGUUCUACUUUCCUUCUGUGAGCUCUCUUUUGGGGUGACAAACUGGAGCAGGAGAGGUAGGUCAGUGGAGCAGUAUUUUGGGACUGCCUCUGGGAACAUUUUUGCUUGUUGCUUUUUCUGUGCUUUGGUAGUUAAAGUACACUGGCAUAUUAUUCUACAACCUCUUAAUAAUGCCUGAGCUGAUUUGAAGAAAUGGGGGAAAAUGAUUAAGGCAAAAGUCACACACACACACACAUACGCACACACUGUUUUGAAAACAACUGCUAUUGACUAGCUAGUCUCAUGCCAAUCAGAGGUAACAGACCCUUGCUUGUGGGUGUGUGGGCCAGUGGUUCUGACUGACCAAGGUGAUGGAUCCCAACAAGGCUGGACUCCCAGGUUCUAUGGAAGCCAUGGCUGGGGACAAGGUCCCCUCUAUCUAUCUGGAGCUGGCCAGACAUCCAGGUAACAGAGCAGGUCAGAAAACAUAUUUCUUGGUCUGAGGGCCAGAGGCGGGGUCUGAAAAUCUGCAGGAGAGACAAAGAGGGGACGGGGGUUGGAAGCCUUGUGCCACGAGUGUUCUCCUAUCCAAGUGAGGGUAUGCAGUAGUCUUUUCCGAAAGAGAAACC